AUACGGAGGAUCCGAGCGUUAUCCGGAUUUAUUGGGUUUAAAGGGUGCGCAGGCGGCCAUUUAAGUCAGCGGUUAAAUCGUGGGGCUCAACCCCAUUCUGCCGUUGAUACUGGGUGGCUUGAUUGCGGUCGAGGUUGGCGGAAUUCGUUGUGUAGCGGUGAAAUGCAUAGAUAUGACGAAGAACACCGAUUGCGUAGGCAGCUGACCAGACCGCAAAUGACGCUCAUGCACGAAAGUGCGGGGAGCGAACAGGAUUAGAUACCCUGGUAGUCCGCACAGUAAACGAUGAAUACGUGUUUUCGGCGAUAGAAUGUCGGAGGCAAAGCGAAAGCGAUAAGUAUUCCACCUGGGGAGUACGCCGGCAACGGUGAAACUCAAAUGAAUUGACGGGG
rnacentral:rRNA from 1 species